CACCUCUAUUUCACCAACAGGUGUGAACCGUGGGGCGGUCCUUGUGGGGAGGAAGUGAAAGUUAAAUUUUACUUCAUGGCAAAGUCCGUCGUGGUGAAGUCACUCGGGUCAAAGUCCCUUCGGUUCGUCUCAUCGAGUCCCUCUAUGGUAUUCCCGAGGAAGGUUUUCUCAACCCCAAAGACCCACAGAGUCCCAGUCCCAGUGAAACCCAUUCAUGUCCAGAAUCCCCGACCCCGAUCGGUGCAGGACCAACAGAAGGAUCAUCAGUGGGUGAUUCUGUUGUCCCCGUCUCGGAGCUAUCAAGAUGGGAAUAUUCUCAUCAAGGAAAAGUGCACCAAGCCAGGACUCCAGAGGAGCAUCAGGAGCCCCCCACUGCAGAGAUCUCCUGCUGGAUCCCAUGUCCAGAGCCACGUCACCGUGCAGAUUGAAGUUCCUGAGCCGGGUGAGUGCCAUACCGAGGCGUACCCCAGGUGGGGGUGCAUACCCCAGAUUUUGGUUUGUAAGAAUGACACUGGAAAUGUUAAAAGUGGUGCAAAACUCCAAUAACUCUCAAAAUGUUAAAGGUAGCACAGAACCCCCAUUGUAUAUCCUACGAAUGACAAAAUCAUCCAUCAAUCCAUUGGGACCAUUCCCUGUGCAGAGCGUUGGUGCUGCCUAAGCAGUCUCCUUGACGAUUGGGAACAAUCCUGGACAGGUCACCACUCCAACACAGGAUACCAGCAAGCUGGUACUCAUUUUGCCAACCUCAUAAGGAAGACAGGCAUAGUCAACCCCACAUGGUAUUAAUUUAACAGCCAAGCAGGAUUUGAACUCAGGAUCCUCAGAUCCAAAGCCUACCACCCUAACCAUUAAGCCAACAUCAGGUAUAUUUACAAAAUGAUCCACAUGAAAUGGCAGUGUAUUUGCCAAUUUUAAUCACAAAUGAUAGAUCUUCUCAACGGACCGCCAUUCUCUAUCAGGUAAACAUGUUCCACAUGUCAGGGUCUGCAUCAUCACGUUACGUUGAAUUCCCCUUUCUACCAAUACACACUCCAAAAAAUUGCUCAUUUGAGGUGAGACAUCUCCGAACACAUCGGAGACGUGUACCCUGCUCGUACCUAUUUAAUGUGAUCAAUUUUAUGAUUUUAUUAAUAAUUAUACCUCUUCAAAGCAAUAAUUUAUUUUUGUUUCGUAAGUAACAUGUUUACCUGGGUGGAUCAAGCAGGGGGGGGGGCUUCUCAACGGACCGCCAUUCUCUAUCAGGUAAACAUGUUCCACAUGUCAGGGUCUGCAUCAUCACGUUACGUUGAAUUCCCAUUUCUACCAAUACACACUCCAAAAAAUUGCUCAUUUGAGGUGCGACAUCUCCGAACCCAUCGGAGACGGGUACCCUGCUCGUACCUAUUUAAUGUGAUCAAUUUAAUUAUUUUAUUAAUAAUUAUACCUAUUCAAAGCAAUAAUUUAUUUUUGUUUCUUAAGUAACAUGUUUACCUGGGUGGAUCAAGCAUUUAUUGUUCAGAGAAAGUAAGGUGAGGCAGGAGCCAAAGGUGUAGACCGUGGUUGAGAUGGGAGGAUUGUGUGAUGAGUGAUGUCACAAAGGUGGAGGAGGAGAGAGAGAGCUGCUGAUUGAGGGUGGUUGAGUAGUGUUUGGGACUGAGCUCCUGCUCCACUCCGUUCACGUCUAUCUCAUUCCAUGUAAAAGGGAUUUUGAGGAAAAAUAAAUAAAUAAAGUAAUCGGUGAAUGGUUUGAUUCUGAAGUACCAAAUGAUAUCUUUGUGUUUUUCCAUCAGGUGAAGAACUGAAGAAGAAGCUGAAGC
rnacentral:lncRNA from 1 species